rnacentral:rRNA from 1 species
UACGUAGGUGGCAAGCGUUGUCCGGAUUUACUGGGCGUAAAGGGCGUGCAGGCGGUCUGUUAAGUGCAGGGUGAAAGCUCCCGGCUCAACUGGGAGAGGUCCUUGCAUACUGGCGGACUUGAGGGGGGUAGAGGAAAGUGGAAUUCCCGGUGUAGUGGUGAUAUGCGUAGGUAUCGGGAGGAACACCUGUGGCGAAGGCGGCUUUCUGGGCCCUACCUGACGCUGAGACGCGAAAGCGUGGGGAGCGAACCGG